rnacentral:rRNA from 1 species
GGUCAAGCGAAUAAGUGCAUGUGGUGGAUGCCUUGGCGAUCACAGGCGAUGAAGGACGUAGUAGCUUGCGAAAAGCUGCGGGGAGCUGGCAAACGAGCUUUGAUCCGCAGAUGUCCGAAUGGGGAAACCCGGCCCGUAUGGGUCAUCCCUUGCUGAAUACAUAGGCAAGGGAGGCGAACGCAGUGAACUGAAACAUCUAAGUAGCUGCAGGAAAAGAAAUCAACCGAGAUUCCCAGAGUAGUGGCGAGCGAAAUGGGAACAGCCUUGUACUCUUUAGCAGUAUUGUUAGCGGAACGGAAUGGAAAGUCCGGCCAUAGUGGGUGAUAGCCCCGUACGCGAAAACAGUAUUGUGGAACUAGGUGUACGACAAGUAGGGCGGGACACGUGAAAUCCUGUCUGAAGAUGGGGGGACCAUCCUCCAAGGCUAAAUACUCGUGAUCGACCGAUAGUGAACCAGUACCGUGAGGGAAAGGCGAAAAGAACCCCGGGAGGGGAGUGAAAUAGAUCCUGAAACCGCAUGCAUACAAACAGUCGGAGCCUGGAAACGGGUGACGGCGUACCUUUUGUAUAAUGGGUCAGCGACUUACAUUCAGUGGCAAGCUUAACCGAUUAGGGAAGGCGUAGCGAAAGCGAGUCCGAAUAGGGCGUUCAGUCGCUGGGUGUAGACCCGAAACCAAGUGAUCUAUCCAUGGCCAGGUUGAAGGUGCGGUAACACGUACUGGAGGACCGAACCCACUAACGUUGAAAAGUUAGGGGAUGAGCUGUGGAUAGGGGUGAAAGGCUAAACAAACUUGGAAAUAGCUGGUUCUCUCCGAAAACUAUUUAGGUAGUGCCUCGUGUCUCACCUUCGGGGGUAGAGCACUGUCAUGGUUGGGGGGUCUAUUGCUGAUUACCCCGCCAUAGCAAACUCCGAAUACCGAAGAGUGCAAUCACGGGAGACAGACAUCGGGUGCUAACGUCCGGUGUCAAGAGGGAAACAACCCAGACCGCCAGCUAAGGUCCCUAAGAUUGGCUAAGUGGGAAACGAAGUGGGAAGGCUAAAACAGUCAGGAGGUUGGCUUAGAAGCAGCCACCCUUUAAAGAAAGCGUAAUAGCUCACUGAUCGAGUCGUCCUGCGCGGAAGAUGUAACGGGGCUAAGCCAGUCACCGAAGCUGCGGAUGCACGUAAGUGCAUGGUAGGAGAGCGUUCUGUAAGCCUGUGAAGGUGUCUUGUAAAGGAUGCUGGAGGUAUCAGAAGUGCGAAUGCUGACAUGAGUAGCGAUAAAGGGGGUGAAAGGCCCCCUCGCCGUAAGCCCAAGGUUUCCUACGCAACGUUCAUCGGCGUAGGGUGAGUCGGCCCCUAAGGCGAGGCAGAGAUGCGUAGCUGAUGGGAAGCAGGUUAAUAUUCCUGCACCGUCGUAUGAUGCGAUGGGGGGACGGAUCGCGGAAGGUUGUCCGGGUGUUGGAAGUCCCGGUCCCUACAUUGGAGAUGGCACUUAGGCAAAUCCGGGUGCGUGAUUCAAGGGUGUGGGGCGAGCGACGUUAGGUCGCGAAGCAAUUGGAAGUGGUUCCAAGAAAAGCCUCUAAGCUUCAGUCAUACGAGACCGUACCGCAAACCGACACAGGUGGGCGAGAUGAGUAUUCUAAGGCGCUUGAGAGAACUCGGGAGAAGGAACUCGGCAAAUUGGUACCGUAACUUCGGGAUAAGGUACGCCCUUGUAGUUUGACUGGCUCGCGCCAGAAGGAUGAAGGGGUUGCAAUAAAAUGGUGGCUGCGACUGUUUAAUAAAAACACAGCACUCUGCAAACACGAAAGUGGACGUAUAGGGUGUGACGCCUGCCCGGUGCCGGAAGAUUAAAUGAUGGGGUGCAAGCUCUUGAUUGAAGUCCCGGUAAACGGCGGCCGUAACUAUAACGGUCCUAAGGUAGCGAAAUUCCUUGUCGGGUAAGUUCCGACCUGCACGAAUGGCGUAACGAUGGCCACACUGUCUCCUCCCGAGACUCAGCGAAGUUGAAGUGUUUGUGAUGAUGCAAUCUCCCCGCGGCUAGACGGAAAGACCCCAUGAACCUUUACUGUAGCUUUGCAUUGGACUUUGAACCGAUCUGUGUAGGAUAGGUGGGAGGCUUUGAAACCGGGACGCUAGUUUCGGUGGAGCCGACCUUGAAAUACCACCCUGGUUUGUUUGAGGUUCUAACCUUGGCCCGUGAAUCCGGGUCGGGGACAGUGCAUGGUAGGCAGUUUGACUGGGGCGGUCUCCUCCCAAAGUGUAACGGAGGAGUUCGAAGGUACGCUUGGUACGGUCGGACAUCGUACCUAAAGUGCAAUGGCAAAAGCGUGCUUAACUGCGAGACCGACAAGUCGAGCAGGUGCGAAAGCAGGACAUAGUGAUCCGGUGGUUCUGUAUGGAAGGGCCAUCGCUCAACGGAUAAAAGGUACUCUGGGGAUAACAGGCUGAUACCGCCCAAGAGUUCAUAUCGACGGCGGUGUUUGGCACCUCGAUGUCGGCUCAUCUCAUCCUGGGGCUGUAGCCGGUCCCAAGGGUAUGGCUGUUCGCCAUUUAAAGAGGUACGUGAGCUGGGUUUAAAACGUCGUGAGACAGUUUGGUCCCUAUCUGCCGUGGGCGUUGGAAUCUUGACGGGGGCUGCUCCUAGUACGAGAGGACCGGAGUGGACGUACCGCUGGUGUACCUGUUGUCUCGCCAGAGGCAUCGCAGGGUAGCUAUGUACGGAAGAGAUAACCGCUGAAAGCAUCUAAGCGGGAAACUCGCCUGAAGAUGAGGAUUCCCUGGAGACUUGAUCUCCCUGAAGGGUCGUUCGAGACCAGGACGUUGAUAGGCUGGGUGUGGAAGCGCAGUAAUGUGUUCAGCUAACCAGUACUAAUUGCCCGUGCGGCUUGAUCCU